rnacentral:rRNA from 1 species
GUAGGUGGCAAGCGUUGUCCGGGAAUUAUUGGGGCGUAAAGCGCGCGCAGGCGGUUCUUUAAGUCUGAUGUGAAAGCCCACGGGCUCAACCGUGGAGGGUCAUUGGAAACUGGAGAACUUGAGUACAGAAGAGGAAAGCGGAAUUCCACGUGUAGCGGUGAAAUGCGUAGAGAUGUGGAGGAACACCAGUGGCGAAGGCGGCUUUCUGGUCUGUAACUGACGCUGAGGCGCGAAAGCGUGGGGAGCAAACAGGAUUAGAUACCCUGGUAGUCCACGCCGUAAUCGAUGAGUGCUAAGUGUUAGGGGGUUUCCGCCCCUUAGUGCUGCAGCUAACGCAUUAAGCACUCCGCCUGGGGAGUACGGCCGCAAGGCUG